rnacentral:tRNA from 3 species
GGCCCCAUCGUCUAGCGGUCAGGACAGCGGCCUUUCAAGCCGCAAACACGGGUUCGAUUCCCGUUGGGGUCACCA